rnacentral:rRNA from 1 species
UACGGAGGGGGCUAGCGUUGUUCGGAAUUACUGGGCGUAAAGCGCGCGCAGGCGGUGCGGUAAGUCCGUCGUGAAAUCUCCCGGCUCAACUGGGAGGGUGCGGUGGAGACUGCCGGACUGGAGGCACUCAGAGGCCGGUGGAAUUCCCGGUGUAGUGGUGAAAUGCGUAGAGAUCGGGAGGAACACCAGUGGCGAAGGCGGCCGACUGGGGUAGA